rnacentral:misc_RNA from 1 species
AUUUUUGUGCAUGACAUGAAAGAAAGCAAGCUGACAUAUCACAUCCCAUGGACAUGCACGCUUAUGUGCUGCAUAAAAGGGUAAAAAGGUCAUUUGGAUAACAAGCCACAACUGCAAAAACAGCAGUUUAUCACACAUUAAUCAUCAAUGCAAGUCUUGUUCAUGUUUAUCAUCAUCAAAUUACAAUUUAUGGUCGCUAUAAAGAAAGUUAUCUCCCCCGCUACCCCACCCUCUGCCAAAUGCUGGCAUUAGACAUUUUUCUUUCUGAACUUCUCUUACCAAUAUCAUGGAACUACAGGCUGGAAACUUAGGUGAUUUUUGCAGGAAGGAAUCUAGAGUUACACACUGAAUGAAAAACCCAAUUCUUGAGGAGCAGCAGGUUUGGUAUAACAGUUACAUACAAUUGUGCUUACAUAAAGUCCUCUUCCAGUUCCUGCAAGGACUUGUUUUCUGCUGCAAUCUGCUUGUUAGAUGUCAUAUUUUCGGAAACCAUUAAACCUUUGUAGCUCCUUAUCUCAGCCUGUCUCUCCUUUUCAAGCCUUUCAAUUUCCUCCCGUCGUUUCUGCAGAAAGGAGUUUUAGAUUUUUAUUGACACUUGCAUGCAAUAAACAAAAUGUGGAAAUAUGGUUCCAACAAGCCCUUCCAUUUUUCAUCUCCUUGUGACAAAGUAAGCAGAAGUUACAUUUUCCUAUAAAUACAAAUGUUACUUUAACAAUUAGAGCAAAUAGAAGUCUCUAAAUCUGAGACUCUGCAAUCAAAUGCUUACAAAUGAAAAGGGACAGGAUAGGAUAGAGACUAUCUUUUCAGUACAUUUUAAAGGAAGCAUCAAUUGAUCAGGGGAGAGGAUAGGAUGGGGCUUCUCAGAUACAAAGUACAAACUCAAAACUAAGAAUUAGAAGUUGAUCAGGUGCAAUAAACCACCAAUAAACCAAGAAACUAUCCUAACAAUCAUACAUGGGAAAAUAAACUUUGACAUUUCAAAUUCAUGGAAGAUGAAGAUGAAAACACUGAUAUUUACUGAACAUCAACAUCAAAGGACUAAUUUUCUCUAAACAAUGAAGAGAAAGAUGCACAAAAAACAACCAACCAAACAUCUGCAUCGAUGCAAUCUCCUCUUUCAUUAAGUUGACCUUUCAUUUAAGCCAAAAGCCUUGUCAAUAGAACAGGUGAGAGAGCACCCACCACAAAUUUAUCAACAUUUGAAGCAUCUCUGUUGUCGACACCAUAUUUUGGCUGAUCACCGAAGUCAAUGAACUUUGAAAAUCAACCCCCAACCGACAUUCUUCGGUUACAAGUGACUAGAUCAGGAAAUAAACCGAUCCCGCAUCUAGUCGGAUGCUUUCCGAUCUCUCGACAAAGGAGAUCAAACCAAUAUCAUGUCUCCAUGCCAUCCUGUCUUAUUUCCGAUCUCUCUUUUAUAAUUAUUGUGAAAAAUCGUUUAAUAAAGUUAAAGUUUCAGUUCGACUUAAUAGUGUUUCCGAUCUUAAGUAUUCAAAUCAAGUUUUCAACUUUAAUGAUCUAAAGUUAUAUCCGGUGUUCGGUCUCGGCUUAGGCCAAUCUCAUGGUUACAAUGUUUUUUCGACCUCUUAUACUUAGUUUAAUAAUCUCUUUUAAGUUUGAUGUCCCAAUACGUUCAAACAAUCAAGCGCUCAUACAAUUUGAAUACUUUCCGAUCUCAUCAAGAAAUUGAACAAAAGAGAUUUCAUUUCAUCUUAAAAUAAAAAUACAAGUUAUUCGGCUGGAGGGUCAGCCCCGGCUUAUUCUACAUUAACAUUUCGCUCAUCCUCUCUCUCUCCCUCGGUUUCCUCCUCGCUUCCCUCUUCGUCUCUGGGAUCAAGAUCCACCAUCCAGGAGAAGUCUUUCUCAGGAUAGUGC